rnacentral:rRNA from 1 species
GACGAACCGUGCGAACGUUGUUCGGAUUCACUGGGCUUAAAGGGCGCGUAGGCGGCUUGCCAAGUCAGGGGUGAAAUCUUUCGGCUCAACCGGAAAAGUGCUUCUGAUACUGGCGGGCUGGAGGAGGGUAGGGGCGGGCGGAAUUUCCGGUGGAGCGGUGAAAUGCGUAGAUAUCGGAAGGAACGCCGGUGGCGAAAGCGGCCCGCUGGACCCUUUCUGACGCUGAUGCGCGAAAGCCAGGGGAGCAAACGGG